UGCUCUUCCCAUCUGAACAUGACAGUGUUUCUGUCCGCAAGUUCCUUGAUGCAGCAAAGCAGACAGAUGAUAACAUGCUUUUUUAUACCAUAUUCAGGUUCUUUGAACAAAGAAAUCAGAGGCUACGAGGGAACCCUAAUUUCACCCCAGGAGAACAUUGUGAAGAAUAUGUCAUCUUCUUCAAGCAGAUUUUUGGAGAACAUGCUCUCAUGAAGCCUACCACUUUCUGAAAGUGUACUGUUUUCAUACAAAAUGUAUAAUUUAUUGCAUUUAAAUAAUGAGAUUUUGAACUACAAAUUUUACAGUAAAAUAUAAACAGACCAUUGUGGCAAAUAUUACUAAAAAUAUUACACAA